UACGUAGGGUGCGAGCGUUGUCCGGAAUUACUGGGCGUAAAGAGCUCGUAGGUGGUUUGUCGCGUUGUUCGUGAAAACUCACAGCUUAACUGUGGGCGUGCGGGCGAUACGGGCAGACUGGAGUACUGCAGGGGAGACUGGAAUUCCUGGUGUAGCGGUGGAAUGCGCAGAUAUCAGGAGGAACACCGGUGGCGAAGGCGGGUCUCUGGGCAGUAACUGACGCUGAGGAGCGAAAGCGUGUGGAGCGAACAGG
rnacentral:rRNA from 1 species